rnacentral:rRNA from 1 species
CAAUAGCAUAUAUUAACGUUGUUGCAGUUGAAAAGCUCGUAGUUGAACUUUUGGUAGGAGCGACCUGGCCUUGGGCGCAUGCCCUUGUUUGCCGUGUGUCGUGUCUGGCCAUCCUUUUCUUCUUUUUGGAAGGAAUCUUUUACUGUGAGUAAACUGGAGUGCUCAAAACAAGACGUUUGUUUGGUACAUUAAAGCAUGGAAUAAUAAGAUAGGACCUGGUUACUAUUUUGUUGGUUUGCAUAGCUAGGUAAUGAUUAACAGGGACAGUUGGGGGUAUUCGUAUUUAAUUGUCAGAGGUGAAAUUCUUGGAUUUAUGAAAGACGAACGACUGCGAAAGCAUUUACCAAGGAUGUUUUCAUUAA